AAUAAGUACAGUUUUACACUGUUCAUGUCCAAUAUUUGACCGUUUGUCUUAUUUGAAAAUUUUUUUAUGAUUAGUACUUCAUGUGACUAAUUUUUUAAUUUUUUUUUAAAAUAAGACGGAUGGUCAAACAUUGGACACAUAUAUCAAAUCUGCGCUUAUU
rfam:Oryza nivara chromosome 5, whole genome shotgun sequence.